ACCGAGUGAUCCCAUAAGCAUAUGGUAAACACCAUGCUAGGACUAGUAACAAGAAUGCAAAAUUCUCCAAAAUGCAAGUAUACACCAGAACGGACACCCCGCUGACAAUUAACGAAGAUGAACUAACUAUGGCAACAUCAGCAAGAAAACCCCACAACAAUCCACCGUUAACCUGACACUAGAGCACUCCAGGAAAGAUUAACAGAGAAGGAAGGAACUCGGCAAAUCUCUACCCCGCCUGUUUACCAAAAACAUCGCCUCUUGACCCGCUAUAAGAGGUCCAGCCUGCCCAGUGAUAAAAUUCAACGGCCGCGGUAUCCUAACCGUGCAAAGGUAGCACAAUCACUUGUUCUUUAAAUAAGGACUCGUAUCAACGGCACCACGAGGGUUGCACUGUCUCCCCCCUCCAAUCAGUGAAACUGAUCUCCCCGUGAAGAAGCGGGGAUCCACCCAUAAGACGAGAAGACCCCAUGGAGCUUAAAACUACCAGCAACUCAACUACACACCAUCCACAACCUACAGAGACCUGCAUGUCAGUUUUCGGUUGGGGCGACCGCGGAGCAAAAAUUAACCUCCACAACGAAAAGAGCUAAAUCUUUAUCCUAGAGCCACCUCUCUAAGAAUUAGUACACUAACGAACAAUGACCCGACUAUCGACCAACGAACCAAGUUACCCUGGGGAUAACAGCGCAAUCUACUUCAAGAGCCCCUAUCGACAAGUAGGCUUACGACCUCGAUGUUGGAUCAGGGUACCCCAGUGGUGCAGCCG
rnacentral:rRNA from 1 species